CUACGGGUCGCUCCAGUGAGGAAUAUUGCACAAUGGAGGAAACUCUGAUGCAGCAACGCCGCGUGGAGGAUGACGCAUUUCGGUGUGUAAACUCCUUUUAUAUGUCAAGAAAAUGACGGUAGCAUAUGAAUAAGCACCGGCUAACUCCGUGCCAGCAGCCGCGGUAAUACGGAGGGUGCAAGCGUUACUCGGAAUCACUGGGCGUAAAGGACGCGUAGGCGGGAUAUCAAGUCAGGUGUGAAAUCCUACAGCUUAACUGUAGAACUGCAAUUGAAACUGGUAACCUAGAGUAUGGGAGGGGGAGAUGGAAUUAGUGGUGUAGGGGUAAAAUCCGUAGAUAUCACUAGGAAUACCUAAAGCGAAGGCGAUCUCCUGGAACAUAACUGACGCUAAGGCGUGAAAGCGUGGGGAGCAAACAGGAUUAGAUACCCUUGUAGUC
rnacentral:rRNA from 1 species